CGGAAGUAGGUGGGGAUUGUGAUUUGGUUCUGGGCAUUGUGAUCUAUAUAAAGCAUGUUCUUCUCACUUAAGUUUGUAUCCUGACGAAAGGUGUCAAUAAAGUGCACCUGAAACGUUGAAACUACGCUUGUGUAGCUGGUCUGUUUUCUGGAAUCCGUGGAGUGCCGCCCGUCUCGCUCUCUCCCUCUGCAUGUUCCUUCCGGAUCGUGGGAUAGCACCCAGGAUAAAUAACAUUACAUGCCAACUUUGCCUUCUGUGGAAUCCCUCUUGUGUAUUUCAAGUACAGUACAUGCAUGUAAUAGGACAGUGACCUCAGCAAGAGAGUGCUCUAACAAAGUCAUUUUACUGUGUCGCCUCUCUGCUGAACUCUGAGAAGGGAAAGCCGGUGGAGUCAUUGCCCACCAGAAGAAGGAAGACCCACUGGAGCCACUGUCUCUACUGCAAGGAGAGAUGCAGAAAUUACCAGUGAUUGAACGCUAAAGCCAGCAAAAGAACACUCAAGUCCAGUGGAUGAAUAAUGUAACUUACUUUAAUAAAACAAAGGCAACGGUUCAGCUUACCUACUGCUGUAGAUGGUUGGUUAAAUGGAAGGAAAUUGCUGAGACUGAAUGUUGCAAACAUCCAUGCCAAGCAUAGCUACUCCAAAGUCUGAAAACAGAACACCAAGUACUCAGCCCUUUUAUCCGCAGAGCAUCACACCUUGGAAGAUGCCAUUCCUGUACCUGCUGGUUGACUGGUUACUAAAUUUAGGCUGGGAUCCUCCCUGACUUGCUCAUAUAACUUACUAGCUAAAUACCCGUGCUUCGCUAUGGAAUUUCAAGUAUUUUUGUGUGUAUAACUUUAAUUUUGAAGAACUUCCUGGUAAACUAAUGAGAGUUACAACAGGAUAUGCUCCGCCCACCGCUGCUAAUCUUUGUCAGGCCGCAC